GACGAACGCUGGCGGCGUGCUUAACACAUGCAAGUCGAACGGAAAGGCCCUGCUUUUGUGGGGUGCUCGAGUGGCGAACGGGUGAGUAACACGUGAGUAACCUGCCCUUGACUUUGGGAUAACUUCAGGAAACUGGGGCUAAUACCGGAUAGGAGCUCCUGCUGCAUGGUGGGGGUUGGAAAGUUUCGGCGGUUGGGGAUGGACUCGCGGCUUAUCAGCGUGUUGGUGGGGUAGUGGCUUACCAAGGCUUUGACGGGUAGCCGGCCUGAGAGGGUGACCGGCCACAUUGGGACUGAGAUACGGCCCAGACUCCUACGGGAGGCAGCAGUGGGGAAUAUUGCACAAUGGGCGGAAGCCUGAUGCAGCAACGCCGCGUGCGGGAUGACGGCCUUCGGGUUGUAAACCGCUUUCGCCUGUGACGAAGCGUGAGUGACGGUAAUGGGUAAAGAAGCACCGGCUAACUACGUG
rnacentral:rRNA from 1 species